UGUGUGUGUGUGUGUGUGUUUCUGUGUGUGUGUUUCUGUGUGUGUGUGUGUGUGUGUGUGUGUGUGUGUGUGUUGUAUUUGAUGAUUCUCUCUCUCUCUCUCUCUCUCUCUCUCUCUCUCUCUCUCUCUCUCUCUCUCUCUCUCUCUCUCUCUCUCUCUCUCUCACAUUCUUAACUAAAUAAUAUGUUUGUGUGUUCGUAUGUUUGUUUGCCAUUUUAAACAGUAGUCUAUUAGCAUUCUUUAUUUAAUUUAUUUAUUUUAUUAUUUAUUUUAUUUGUCUUUAUUUCCUCACCUUGUUAAAUAAUGAUGCACCUAAUUAAACACACUAUUAUCAUUAUUAUUAUUAUUAUUAUUAUUAUUAUUUUUUUUUUCACUGUAUAUUUCUUCAGUAACUUUCUUCUAUAUAAAUAACAACAACAAUGAUUUUUUUUUUUGCUUCUAAAGAUAAAUAGUUUAGUUGCUUUUAGUUCUUCUGCUAAUUUCCAGCACCUGAGUUUUGCCUCGAGAGAACUUAACACUGAUUGUAAAGAACUGCGGCCUUGUGUUAGGAUGCAUAGAAGGCUUCACACCAAUGCUAGAGGUUCUAAGCCCAUGUAUGAUUGAAGGCGAUUUCUAUAUAUGUUAGGGGCCAGGGAGUGGGGUUUGCAAACACUGAUUGUAAAGAACUGUGGCCUUGUGUUAGGAUGCAUAAAAGGCUUCACAUCAAUGCUAGAGGUUCUAAGCCCAUGUAUGAUUGAAGGCGAUUUCUAUAUAUAUUAAGUCCAGGGAGUGGGGUUUGCAAACACUGAUUGUAAAUAACUGCAGCCUUGUGUUAGGAUGCAUAAAAGGCUUCACAUCAAUGCUAGAGGUUCUAAGCCCAUGUAUGAUUGAAGGCGAUUUCUAUAUAUAUUAAGGGCCAGGGAGUGGGGUUUGCAAACACUGAUUGUAAAGAACUGCAGCCUUGUGUUAGGAUGCAUAAAAGGCUUCACAUCAAUGCUAGAGGUUCUAAGCCCAUGUAUGAUUGAAGGCGAUUUCUAUAUAUAUUAAGGGCCAGGGAGUGGGGUUUGCAAACACUGAUUGUAAAGAACUGCGGCCUUGUGUUAGGAUGCAUAAAAGGCUUCACAUCAAUGCUAGAGGUUCUAAGCCCAUGUAUGAUUGAGGGCGAUUUCUAUAUAUAUUAAGGGCCAGGGAGUGGGGUUUGCAAACACUGAUUGUAAAGAACUGCAGCCUUGUGUUAGGAUGCAUAAAAGGCUUGACAUCAAUGCUAGAGGUUCUAAGCCCAUGUAUGAUUGAAGGCGAUACUUAUAUAUAUUAAGGGCCAGGGAGUUGGGUUUGCAAGUCUUGAUAAUUAGUAAGGAAUAAAGAUUGCAAAGUUUCGUGAAGUAGUGAACAAACCGUCCCAUUGAGUAAAGUAACAAUUAAAGACAGGUAAAAGUAGAAGUGAAAAGUAAGAUUUGAAAAGUAACAAAGUGCAGGAAGAGGAAAGGAGAAAAAUAAAGUAAUUGGGGGAGAAUGACACAAAUUCCAUACCUAACCAUAACCCAUUCUCUCUUUUUCCUUCCCUCCCCUUUCUCUCUCCCUCCCCCUUUCUCCGC